rnacentral:rRNA from 1 species
GACAGAGGGUGCAAACGUUGUUCGGAAUUACUGGGCGUAAAGCGCGUGUAGGCGGUUCGUAAAGUCGGAUGUGAAAGCCCUGGGCUUAACCCAGGAAGUGCAUUCGAAACUCACGAACUUGAGUCCCGGAGAGGAAGGCGGAAUUCUCGGUGUAGAGGUGAAAUUCGUAGAUAUCGAGAGGAACAUCUGUGGCGAAGGCGGCCUUCUGGACGGUGACUGACGCUGAGACGCGAAAGCGUGGGGAGCAAAAAGG